GGCCGCAUCAUGUUAAAAACACGUGUUCCUGUACGAUCACUGAAGUUAAGUAAUGUCGUGCUUGGUCACUACCUAGAUGGGUGACCGCUUGGGAAUACCAAGUACUGU